rnacentral:lncRNA from 1 species
AAAGAACAUGUGGUGCCGACUGAAGUUAAUUGAUAUAUAUACGCACUAAAAACAACAGCCGAGGAAGAAAGGAAAAAGUCAAAAACUGGGCACCAAGAAAUAUAUUAUACGACAAUUGAAGAAGACGAAACGAGCUGCCUGCUGGAAAUAUAUACAUUAAAAAAACAGGAAGAGGCAGCUGGAAUUGGGAGAAAAAGAGGCAGAUUCUAGCGGAUUGGGAAAUAGAGCGAGCUUCCUUCUGGAACGAAAAACAAAAGAAUUCAAAACCAUUGAUAUAUAUAUAUAUGAGAGAGAGAGGCAUGGGAGCAGGGAAUUGAAGUUUAAAAGAUAACAAGCUGCCUGCUGGAAAAAACGAGUGCUGCCUAUUUUUUAUACAAACAUAGAAGACGGGUAGAAGCUGACAAAAUAUGAGGAAGAAGACAGCAACUUUAAUAGGGAGAAUUAAUCAUGUUCCGUCGAAGUUUGGUGGUGUUUUUAAACUUCUGUGUGUUUAAUUUCAACAAUAUGCUUGGC